CACUAUCGUUAACUGAAUACAUAGGUUAACGAGGCGAACCGGGGGAACUGAAACAUCUAAGUACCCCGAGGAAAAGAAAUCAACCGAGAUUCCCCCAGUAGCGGCGAGCGAACGGGGAGCAGCCCAGAGUCUGAAUCAGCUUGUGUGUUAGUGGAACGGUCUGGAAAGUCCGACGGUACAGGGUGAUAGUCCCGUACACCAAAAUGCACAGGCUGUGAACUCGAAGAGUAGGGCGGGACACGUGGUAUCCUGUCUGAAUAUGGGGGGACCAUCCUCCAAGGCUAAAUACUCCUGACUGACCGAUAGUGAACCAGUACCGUGAGGGAAAGGCGAAAAGAACCCCGGCGAGGGGAGUGAAAAAGAACCUGAAACCGUGUACGUACAAGCAGUGGGAGCACCUUCGGGUGUGACUGCGUACCUUUUGUAUAAUGGGUCAGCGACUUAUAUUCUGUAGCAAGGUUAACCGUAUAGGGGAGCCGCAGGGAAACCGAGUCUUAACUGGGCGUUAAGUUGCAGGGUAUAGACCCGAAACCCGGUGAUCUAGCCAUGGGCAGGUUGAAGGUUGGGUAACACUAACUGGAGGACCGAACCGACUAAUGUUGAAAAAUUAGCGGAUGACUUGUGGCUGGGGG
rnacentral:rRNA from 1 species